rnacentral:misc_RNA from 1 species
CCGAGUUUUCACACUCACCAAACCCACUGUGAACCUUACCACUGUCGUUGCUUCGGCGGGCGCAGACCCCUCUCCUCCCUCCGGGGGGGCGCGGGGCGCGGGCCCGCCGGCAGCACCCAAAACUCUUCUGUAUAUACCCUAGCGUCUCUUCUGAGUACAAAAGACAAACAAUCA